GCCGUCGGCAGUUGGUCUCUGAGAAGGCAACAGUUUCUCUCAGGAGGUCUUGCGGAGUCGUGGCGCCAUGCCUCUGGAUCCUCAGGUGGGCAUGGGGGCCCUUGGCAAUCAGGAUAUCCUGGCCAUCUUCUACCGCCUGCGCUUUGUGCUUAGCAACCAUGUAGCGGCCGCCUGGCGAGCCCGGAACCCCGCAGCGGACGUGGGAGGAGGAGGAGGAGGAGGAGCCGCUCGGUUGGUCAACGGUCGUAUUCGCUCACGCGGGUUCUGAGGGACUUGGUCGACUGCUCGCCCACGCCGCAGAAUGCCUGGCAUAGGAUAUGACUGUAAAUAUUUAGCUCUACAAGAAGAAAUGGCGUUUACAUACAAAAGAAAGACAUGAUUCAUUGGUUUUAAGUAAAUACAUCAUAAUGCAUCCUAAAAGGCCCUGGUCUGCCUGAUGAAGGGACCACCAUGACACCUUUAAUCCCCCAGUAAUUAACACAUGGAAUGGGGUACCAGUGAUGAAAAAUGACCACAAUUAGCUCCCUUUCAAGACUUUCCCAGACAUCUGAUCAGGACCAAGACUGGGUCCUCAUUCUCUUGGUUCUGCUUCUGUUGAGAGGCCCAGCUUAAAUCACUUUCUUCAGCUUGUUGAAAGCAGCAGGACAAAAGUACUGCUCCUGCCACAAAGGAAGCUGGGCCACACGCCUUUGCACACCACAUCUUUGAAAGUCCCUAAGAAUGGAUGGUCUGUUUUGACUGCAGUGCCAAAAGUCACAGCUGGGCAAACAUAACCUACAGGAUAUUUCUUUUCAUAAGUUGCUUGGAGUCAUGUGGUGUUUACUAGAGUUUUAUCUGUAAGUCUUUCCUUGAUUUUUGACAGCAAGUAAAGUGACAGAUUAAUUGCAGUUUAGGAGGGUUUA